UACGUAGGGCGCAAGCGUUGUCCGGAAUUAUUGGGCGUAAAGAGCUCGUAGGCGGCUUGUCACGUCGGUUGUGAAAGCCCGGGGCUUAACCCCGGGUCUGCAGUCGAUACGGGCAGGCUAGAGUGUGGUAGGGGAGACUGGAAUUCCUGGUGUAGCGGUGAAAUGCGCAGAUAUCAGGAGGAACACCGGUGGCGAAGGCGGGUCUCUGGGCCGUAACUGACGCUGAGGAGCGAAAGCGUGGGGAGCGAACAGG
rnacentral:rRNA from 1 species